GUUGGGAAGGUGGAAGAGGGAAAAUUGAACUUGCUAAUGCGUUGCUAAUGAAAAACAUGUUGAAAUGAAUCCGCGAUUGGGUUUUCGAGAUUUCCAUACGAAAAGCAUAGUUUUUAUUUCGCAUAAUGGCGAACGAAAGCCGUUAAAUGUCAACGGAUAAAAUAUGACGCUUCAUUUUUAACAGAUUUUCGACAGACCCUUGGACCGUUGUCAAAACUGCAGUAAUAUACGACUACGCUUGUCCUUUCGAAAAAUCACCGUAAGUUUCAAAAUCGCCGUUUGUGUAUUGUUUUCCACCACCUUGACAAAUCACAAUAAUUAAUUAUAAGUAUAUUUAUACAAUGUAAUUCACACUCUUUCACUGUAUUGAAAUGCGCAG